UAGGAGAUUACUAUAUUGCCCUCUGACAGACGUUGUCACGGUGCCGAAUUCUGGAUUAAGUAUGUGCAGCGAUGCGUUGUAUCUGUAGUUAGGCAGUAACAGCUUGGAGUCAUAAAGAUCAGCACUAUGAGUGCUCUGUGCUGAUCUGGGGCGUGUUGUACUGGGGUCUUUAAAAAGACUGCCCCGCUACACCUGAAGCUUUAUGAACAAGUUUUUAGGUACAAUUACAACCAAGGACCAUUGUGAAUCAGAAUCACCCCUGCUUUUGUUUACAUGUAGAUUUCUGUAUUAGUAAGUGGUUUCCAAGAUGCUUUCAAUUGCUGGGCUUAUUUUUUGUUUUGGAGGUUUGGAGGAAGGAAGCUUAACCAUACCUUCCCACUUCUCUAAAUACAGUGCUGAUACGAUGGGUCAUUUCUCACCUAUUUGAGGUAUAGAAGAAGGUAGUUUUCACCUAGGAAGCGCUCUUUUUAUUUUUUUCUCUCAUAUUUAGCCUGUCAGCCAUACUUCAGAUUAAUGCAAAUCCAGGUUCAUAAUGAUAUUAUUCGUGUCUGCUGAUGCUCAUGUUUAAAGAAUUAGAGCAAAAAAAGCAUAUUUAAGAAUUAGAGCAAAAAAGAGGCUUCAAAGUAUAUUUUACAUAGUUUAGUCUGUAAAUCAGAAGUUGUGUCUGCAUUCUUAUGGUGCAUGAAGUUAUGAAAAUUUACUGACAGGACACUCUUUUAUUAGAUUUCCUGUUGAUAAAAUGUUAGGUAAAGAUCUGUCGAAUUAUUUGACAUGUGUUGCUUUCAUGCAUUGCUUGCAGCAUCUGUGUUCUAUAUUCAUUACCCCCUUAGCUGUAGCUGCCUCAUUUUACCAGGGCAGUAGCAGUGUGACAAAUUUAUCUCUUCACAUAAACCGAUAAGUGAAACUGUACUUACACUUUUAUUACUGCCCUCUGGUAUCCAUUGCUGGUGAUCUCUGUGCUAUAACCAGUCACAAUUUCUUUAAAAGCUGACAUUCUUUUUUUUUUUUUUUUUAAGUUUACUUAUUUAUUUAUUUAUUUUGAGAGAGACAGCGUGAGUGGGGGAGGAAGAGAGAGAGAAUCCCAAGUAGGCUUCGUGCUGCCAGCUGAGAGCCCAACCGCAGGGCUUGAACCCACAAAACUGUAAGUUCGUGACCUGAGCCGAAACCAAGAGGCUCAACUGAGCCACCCAGAUGCCCCUAAAAGUCGACAUUCUUAUUAGUAUCCCCUCCAUGUGCCUUCUAUGUAAUAAUCUAUCAUUAUGUUGAUUGUUACUUAAUCAGCUUUUAUAAAAUGGAGAACAUUAAAUAAAAAUAAAAUUAGCAUGAUUUGAAACAACAAAAAAAACUGACAUUCAUAUUCAUUUUGUAGCAUGGUGUUGCCCUAAGGUUUAUAAAAACAAAACAUCAUAGUAAUGGGUGAUCUAAAGCACUGAGGUGCGGAUAUUCAUCUUACGGACAAACUGUCUGCCAGCCCAUCAUUUAUAAGCUGAUGUUUUUAAGAUGUUUUAAUAGCCUGUCAUUUAUAUAGCACUUAGUUUAUGCUAAGAGAAAAGUACAGUGGGUAGCAGAGAGCUUGUUUCCCAGGAGCUUGUCUGAGACUCCUCAAUACCAGGUCAGGAUGUCUCCUUAAUGCUCUUUCAGUAAUACCACCCUGUUGUGCCUAACACUGCAAAGGGCAAGAACUGUAUUAAAGGUCCCUACAACGACUACACUGGCUAGCAUUUAUAGAAAUAAUUAAAAACAUAUAAUUUAAGUGUUUUGAGGGAAUGCAGUGCUGCAUACAUUCAGAGAAAAUAAUGAGCAGUAGGACCAAGGGUAGUUAGGUAGACUCUGGAGGGAUUUAAGCUGAGCCUUGAUGAAUGAGGAGGAUUUGGAGAGUAGGACAGCAAUAAGAGGCAUAUGAAACAGGUGAGAGCGAGGGCACAGAUAGAGAAUUAUUGUAACUUCUGUAGAGGACAGCGAUCAGCUUGACUUGUGUUGUUGGUCCUCGUUUCAGAGUACUGAAAAAGAAAAUUAGGUGUGCUUAUGCAGAACCUUGAGAAGUAAGAUUCCAGAGUAACAGUUAAGAAAGCACACCUAGGCUGGCUGGCUCAGUUGGUGGAGCAUGUGACUCUUGAUCUUGGGGUCAUGAGUUCAAGUCCCACCUGUGGUGUGGCGUUUACUUAAUUUUUUUUA